GACGAACGCUGGCGGCGUGCUUAACACAUGCAAGUCGUACGGUAAGGCCCUUUCGGGGGUACACGAGUGGCGAACGGGUGAGUAACACGUGAGUAACCUGCCCACAACUUUGGGAUAACGCUAGGAAACUGGUGCUAAUACUGGAUAUGUGCUCCUGCUGCAUGGUGGGGGUUGGAAAGCUCCGGCGGUUGUGGAUGGACUCGCGGCCUAUCAGCUUGUGGUGGGGUAGUGGCCUACCAAGGCGGCGACGGGUAGCCGGCCUGAGGGGGUGACCGGCCACAUUGGGACUGAGAUACGGCCCAGACUCCUACGGGAGGCAGCAGUGGGGAAUAUUGCACAAUGGGCGCAAGCCUGAUGCAGCAACGCCGCGUGCGGGAUGACGGCCUUCGGGUUGUAAACCGCUUUCAGCAGGGACGAAGCUUUUUGUGACGGUACCUGCAGAAGAAGCACCGGCUAACUACGUG
rnacentral:rRNA from 1 species